rnacentral:rRNA from 1 species
GGGCCCGCACAAGCGGUGGAGCAUGUGGUUUAAUUCGAUGCAACGCGAAAAACCUUACCUACCCUUGACAUCAUCAGAACUUGUUAGAGAUAACUCGGUGCCUUCGGGAACUGAUAGACAGGUGCUGCAUGGCUGUCGUCAGCUCGUGUCGUGAGAUGUUGGGUUAAGUCCCGCAACGAGCGCAACCCUUAUUCUUAGUUGCCAGCACGUAAUGGUGGGGACUCUAAGGAGACUGCCGGUGCUAAGCCGGAGGAAGGCGGGGACGACGUCAAGUCAUCAUGGCCCUUACGGGUAGGGCUACACACGUGCUACAAUGGCCGGUACAGAGGGUUGCCAAACCGCGAGGUGGAGCUAAUCUCACAAAGCCGGUCAUAGUCCGGAUUGCAGUCUGCAACUCGACUGCAUGAAGUCGGAAUC